rnacentral:rRNA from 1 species
UGAGGAAUACAUCGGAAUCUACUUUUUCGUGGGGGAUAACGUAGGGAAACUUACGCUAAUACCGCAUACGACCUACGGGUGAAAGCAGGGGACCUUCGGGCCUUGCGCGAUUGAAUGAGCCGAUGUCGGAUUAGCUAGUUGGCGGGGUAAAGGCCCACCAAGGCGACGAUCCGUAGCUGGUCUGAGAGGAUGAUCAGCCACACUGGAACUGAGACACGGUCCAGACUCCUACGGGAGGCAGCAGUGGGGAAUAUUGGACAAUGGGCGCAAGCCUGAUCCAGCCAUACCGCGUGGGUGAAGAAGGCCUUCGGGUUGUAAAGCCCUUUUGUUGGGAAAGAAAUCCAGCCGGCUAAUACCUGGUUGGGAUGACGGUACCCAAAGAAUAAGCACCGGCUAACUUCGUGCCAGCAGCCGC